GAGUUUGAUCGUGGCUCAGAGUGAACGCUGGCGGCAGGCCUAACACAUGCAAGUCGAACGGCAGCACAGCAGUAGCAAUACUGUGGGUGGCGAGUGGCGGACGGGUGAGGAAUACAUGGGAAUCUGCCCUGUCGUGGGGGAUAACGUAGGGAAACUUACGCUAAUACCGCAUACGACCGAGAGGUGAAAGCGGCGGACCGCAAGGCGUCGCGCGAUUGGAUGAGCCCAUGUCGGAUUAGCUAGUUGGCGGGGUAAAGGCCCACCAAGGCGACGAUCCGUAGCUGGUCUGAGAGGAUGAUCAGCCAUACUGGGACUGAGACACGGCCCAGACUCCUACGGGAGGCAGCAGUGGGGAAUCUUGGACAAUGGGCGCAAGCCUGAUCCAGCCAUGCCGCGUGAGUGAAGAAGGCCUUAGGGUUGUAAAACUCUUUCGCCGGAGAAGAUAAUGACGGUAUCCGGAGAAGAAGCCCCGGCUAACUUCGUGCCAGCCGCCGCCGUAAG
rnacentral:rRNA from 1 species